AGUGGAAUAGUUGGGUCACAUGGUGGUUCCAUUUCUAGUUUUUGAAGAAUUUACAUACUGCUUUACAAAGUAGUUGUACUAAUUUGCAGUCCCACCAACAAC
rnacentral:pre_miRNA from 1 species